AGCAAUACUCAUUGGUAAGGCAAACCUCUUGAAAGUCAACAAAGGCCCUUUGUAUGCCCUACUUCGUCUCAAUACGUCCCCGGCGUAUAGAACGGUGACAUGGCUCGCCAAAUAUCUGUAUACGGGGAAAACUAACCCCUUGGGAAACAACCCGUGGCUACCUG
rnacentral:ribozyme from 1 species